UACGUAGGGGGCAAGCGUUAUCCGGAAUUACUGGGUGUAAAGGGAGCGUAGACGGUAAUGUAAGUCUGGAGUGAAAGGCGGGGGCCCAACCCCCGGACUGCUCUGGAAACUAUGUUACUAGAGUGCAGGAGAGGUAAGCGGAAUUCCUGGUGUAGCGGUGAAAUGCGUAGAUAUAUGGAGGAACACCGGUGGCGAAAGCGGCUCUCUGGCCUGUAACUGACGCUGAGGCUCGAAAGCGUGGGGAGCAAACAGG
rnacentral:rRNA from 1 species